rnacentral:tRNA from 1 species
GCAGUGGUGAUUCAGUGGUAGAAUUCUUGUUUUCUAUGCAGGAGACCUGGCUUCAAUUCCCAACCAAUGCA